UUUAUCUGAGAAGAGCAAAUAACACAAAAUGUUAUAGAUUUCACAUUUACCAAUUCGCAUUAUUAAAAUAAUUACGAGGAUUUGAGAAAGCCUCUUAAUAUACUCAAAUGCCAAACCCUACGAUAAUGUUUAAUAAAUUAUAAAAUGUUAUCUAAAAUGCUAAGCUCUACAUAACAAUGCGAGUCGUACUUAUUGGACGUUUGAUAUUUCCUACUUAUACUAAUUUUAUCAAUUACCAAGUAAAUUUAUAUAUUUUUAUCAAAUCACAUAAAAUUUAUGUCAGAUUUAAUGAAUCUGACAUAUAUGAUUUGUAAAAUUACAAAGAGUGUGCCAUUAUAGUAAAACGAUUUAUAAAGUUCAUCGCGGACCGAUUAACAAUUCAAUUAAACAAAUUAUCUUGUAUUUUAAAGUGAUAUUUCGACUCUGUUACUGUUCAUUUGAAUUAUUUGUACGGUCGUCGAAAGUAGUGCAUAUAGUACCUAAACGGACGGUAAAUAAGUUUAAUACUCAAGAAGCGGUUUAGUCAGACGGCGUUUUCGUUCUGUUAAUAAUGUCAUCUUCAAAAAACACACAAUCGUCGUCUGGGUUCAAGCCCAAAGAUCAACAACCACCAAAAGUCUAUGUCGAGAUGCGAGAUAAAAACUUCGCUGAAAAAGCUCGUCAGAAAGAUGGUCUGCCGCCGGUGGACAAAUAUUCGUCGAAAUCGCAGUUUCCGCCGCUUGGAUCUAAACCAAACUUCGGCCAAAUGAAAGAUUCAAAAAAGAAGUGAUUUAAAAAAAAAAAAAAGUGUAUCAUCUUACUGAAAAUAAAUGUACCACGACAAC